UACGGAAGGCAGCAGUGGGGAAUAUUGCACAAUGGGCGAAAGACCUGAUGCAGCUAUGCCGCGUGUAUGAAGAAGGCCUUAGGGUUGUAAAGUACUUUCAUCGGGGAGGAAAAAACAAAACUAAUAAUUUUAUUUCUUGACGUUACCCGAAAAAGAAGCACCGGCUAACUCCGUGCCAGCAGCCGCGGUAAUACGGAGGGUGCUAGCGUUAAUCAGAAUUACUGGGCGUAAAGAGCACGUAGGUGGUUUUUUUAAAGUCAGAUGUGAAAUCCCUGGGCUUUAACCUAGGAACUGCAUUUUGAAACUGAAAUACUAGAGUAUCGUAGAGGGAGGUAGAAUUCUAGGUGUAGCGGUGAAAUGGCGUAGAUAUCUGGAGGAAUACCUGUGGCGAAAGCGGCCUCCUAAACGAAUACUGACACUGAGGGUGCGAAAGCGUGGGGAGCAAACAGGGAUUAGAUA
rnacentral:rRNA from 1 species